UACGUAGGUGGCAAGCGUUGUCCGGAUUUACUGGGCGUAAAGAGCGCGCAGGCGGUCGUUCAAGUCGCGUGUGAAAGCCCCCGGCUCAACUGGGGAGGGUCACGCGAUACUGAUCGACUGGAAGGCAGGAGGGUGUAGUGGAAUUCCCGGUGUAGUGGUGAAAUGCGUAGAUAUCGGGAGGAACACCAGUGGCGAAGGCGACUACCUGGCCUGUUCUUGACGCUGAGGCGCGAAAGCUAGGGGAGCAACGGG
rnacentral:rRNA from 1 species